ensembl:snoRNA small nucleolar RNA SNORD2
GUAUGAUGUGAUGGUAUCAUCUUUCGGGACUGACCUGUUUAUGGAGACAUUUACAACCUAACUGAUCAUAC